CGGGGUGAGGCGGAACCUAAGGCGAGGCCCCAGAGGCGUAGUCGAUGGACAGCCGGUUAAAAUUCCGGCCCCGUCUAAUAAGCGUUAUUACCCAUUCAGGGACCGUGGAACGAAGUGGCAGCGACCUUGUGGAUUGGUCGUCUACCUGCGUAGGGCAACCGAGGCAGACUAGCGAGUGUGCGGGGCAACCCAAAUGCGAGUGCUGUGGAGUAGACAUGCAAGAAAAGCUGAAUUGGGGAGUUUAUUAGUCGUCCGUACCAAAACCGACACAGGUGGGUAAGGCGAGUAGCCUAAGGUGAACGAGUGAAACGUGGUCAAGGAACUCGGCAUAAUGAUCCCGUAACUUCGGAAUAAGGGAUGCCUCGAGUGGUCAUCAGAUUUACUCUGGUGGCUCUUUGAGGUCGCAGAUAAUCGGCUCAAGCGACUGUUUAGCAAAAACACAGGUGUGUGCCAAGCCGCACAAGGCGCCGUAUACACACUGACGCCUGCCCGGUGCCGGAAGGUUAAGGGGAGAGAUCAGGGUAGCUUGCUACCUGAAGUCUUAAGCCGAAGCCCCGGUAAACGGCGGCCGUAACGAUAACGGUCCUAAGGUAGCGAAAUUCCUUGUCGGGUAAGUUCCGACCUGCACGAAUGGCGUAACGACUUGAGCACUGUCUCGACCACGUGCUCGGCGAAAUUGCAGUCUCGGUGAGGAUUCCGAGUCCCCGCGACAGGACAAAAAGACCCCGUGCACCUUUACUGUAGCUUGCCAUUGGUCGUUGCACUUCGCUGUGUAGCAUAGGUGGGAGCCGUUGAGGCCCAGGCGCUAGCUUGGGCGGAGGCAUCAGUGAAAUACCACCCUGCGUUGUGCGACGCCCUCACCACGGAAAGCAAACCUUUUCUGGGACCGUGGCAGGUGGGCAGUUUGACUGGGGCGGUCGCCUCCGAAAGAGUAACGGAGGCGCGCGAUGGUACCCUCAGCGCGGUCGAUAUUCGCGCUCGAAGAGUGUAACAGCAUAAGGGUGCCUAACGGCGAGACCGACGGGUCGAGCCGAUACGAAAGUAGGCUGUAGUGAUCCGGUAGCCCCGCGUGGGCGGGCUAUCGCGCAACGGAUAAAAGGUACGCCGGGGAUAACAGGCUUAUCGCGCCCGAGAGUUCACAUCGACGGCGCGGUUUGGCACCUCGAUGUCGGCUUAUCACAUCCUGGGGCUGGAGCAGGUCCCAAGGGUCCGGCUGUUCGCCGGUUAAAGUGGUACAUGAGCUGGGUUCAAAACGUCGUGAGACAGUUUGGUCUGUAUCCGUCGUGGGCGUUGGAGAGUUGAGGGGCGCGGACCCUAGUACGAGAGGACCGGGUCGGACAGUCCGCUCGUGUACCGGCUGUGAUGCCAAUUGCAGCGCCGGGUAGCGAUGACUGGUGGCGAGAACCGCUGAAUGCAUCUAAGUGGGAAAUGCCCCCCAAGAUGAACUCUCCCUCAUACACAAGUAUGCUUAAGGGCCGGGGAAGACUACCCCGUCGAGAGGCUGCAAGUGGAAGUCUAGUAAUAGAUUCCAAGCUGAGCAGUCCUCAUCGCCCGUGAGGCUUGACUAG
rnacentral:rRNA from 1 species